rnacentral:misc_RNA from 1 species
GAUGAAGAACGCAGCGAAAUGCGAUACGUAAUGUGAAUUGCAAAUUCAGUGAAUCAUCGAGUCUUUGAAUGCACAUUGCGCCCCCUGGUAUUCCGGGGGGCAUGCCUGUCCGAGCGUCAUUGCUGCCCUCAAGCACGGCUUGUGUGUUGGGCCCCGUCCUCCGAUCCCGGGGGACGGGCCCGAAAGGCAGCGGCGGCACCGCGUCCGGUCCUCGAGCGUAUGGGGCUUUGUCACCCGCUCUGUAGGCCCGGCCGGCGCUUGCCGAUCAACCCAAAUUUUUAUCCAGGUUGACCUCGGAUCAGGUAGGGAUACCCGCUGAACUUAAGCAUAUCAAUAAGCGGAGGA